rnacentral:rRNA from 1 species
ACGGGUGAGUAACACGUGGGUGAUCUGCCCUGCACUUUGGGAUAAGCCUGGGAAACUGGGUCUAAUACCGAAUACACCUCGCUGGCUGCAUGGCCUGGUGGGGGAAAGCUUUUGCGGUGUGGGAUGGGCCCGCGGCCUAUCAGCUUGUUGGUGGGGUGAUGGCCUACCAAGGCGACGACGGGUAGCCGGCCUGAGAGGGUGUCCGGCCACACUGGGACUGAGAUACGGCCCAGACUCCUACGGGAGGCAGCAGUGGGGAAUAUUGCACAAUGGGCGCAAGCCUGAUGCAGCGACGCCGCGUGUGGGAUGACGGCCUUCGGGUUGUAAACCUCUUUCAGCAUCGACGAAGCGCAAGUGACGGUAGAUGCAGAAGAAGCACCGGCCAACUACGUGCCAGCAGCCGCGGUAAUACGUAGGGUGCGAGCGUUGUCCGGAAUUACUGGGCGUAAAGAGCUCGUAGGUGGUUUGUCGCGUUGUCCGUGAAAACUCACAGCUUAACUGUGGGCGUGCGGGCGAUACGGGCAGACUGGAGUACUGCAGGGGAGACUGGAAUUCCUGGUGUAGCGGUGGAAUGCGCAGA